GAUGAACGCUGGCGGCGUGCCUAAUACAUGCAAGUCGAGCGAACGGACGAGAAGCUUGCUUCUCUGAUGUUAGCGGCGGACGGGUGAGUAACACGUGGAUAACCUACCUAUAAGACUGGGAUAACUUCGGGAAACCGGAGCUAAUACCGGAUAAUAUUUUGAACCGCAUGGUUCAAAAGUGAAAGACGGUCUUGCUGUCACUUAUAGAUGGAUCCGCGCUGCAUUAGCUAGUUGGUAAGGUAACGGCUUACCAAGGCAACGAUGCAUAGCCGACCUGAGAGGGUGAUCGGCCACACUGGAACUGAGACACGGUCCAGACUCCUACGGGAGGCAGCAGUAGGGAAUCUUCCGCAAAGGGCGAAAGCCUGACGGAGCAACGCCGCGUGAGUGAUGAAGGUCUUCGGAUCGUAAAACUCUGUUAUUAGGGAAGAACAUAUGUGUAAGUAACUGUGCACAUCUUGACGGCACCUAAUCAGAAAGCCACGGCUAACUACGUG
rnacentral:rRNA from 1 species